GAAUGCACCACGAUGCACCCUCUGUGUAAGCUAGCCUUGCCUUGUCGCCAAUUUGGGCUCCGGACGAAUCAGUUAUUUGGUUGCCGCUGAUUUGUUUAUUUUGCAUUCCAAGAGGAACAAUAAGGGGAUUUGAAAGUCGUGAAAUCCAUCACUUCGUCGCAAUUGUGCAUAUCACAGAGUGCACAGAAAUAGAAUAUGUCAGAGUUUUAGAAGUUAAGUCGCUUGAGGAAGGUUAGAUUAUACCUGAAGUAUGUUGCAAGCCAUAGAGAACCAAAAGCAAAACCCGGAAACGGUCCACCGCGACAACCAUGAUGCUUCCCCGAAAUGAACGCGUAUAAAGUGAUAGCUAAAGAUGACGUCAUAGGGUUAAAAGAACAGGUCACGUCACAUAAAAUACCCCUUGUUUGAGGAUGAGUUAAACUGACAGUCAGCUAUGAUCAGUUAAACUUACAGGUAGCUAUGAUAAAAAACUUGUUUCGAGUCAUCUCGAAACUAAAAAAUGAUAACGCAAGAAAAAAAAAACAUUUAGUUUCUGGUCGUUCUUCAUCGGGAGCAUGCGGGGUUUCAGCAAAAAUAAAACGUGCAUUUGUUUA